AGCGAACGCUGGCGGCAGGCCUAACACAUGCAAGUCGAACGAACCCUUCGGGGUUAGUGGCGGACGGGUGAGUAACACGUGGGAACGUGCCUUUAGGUUCGGAAUAACUCAGGGCAACUUGUGCUAAUACCGAAUGUGCCCUUCGGGGGAAAGAUUUAUCGCCUUUAGAGCGGCCCGCGUUUGAUUAGCUAGUUGGUGAGGUAAUGGCUCACCAAGGCUACGAUCAGUAGCUGGUCUGAGAGGAUGACCAGCCACAUUGGGACUGAGACACGGCGCAAACUCCUACUGGAGGCAGCAGUGGGGAAUCUUGCGCAAUGGGCGAAAGCCUUACGCGUCCGUGCCGCGUGGAUGAUGAAGGUCUUAGGAUUGUAAAAUCCUUUCACCGGUGAAGAUAAUGACUGUAGCCGGAGAAGAAGCACCGGCUAACUCCGUGCCAGCCGCUGCGGUAAUAC
rnacentral:rRNA from 1 species